CUCUCUGUUAUUGGUCCAAGUAAAGGCGCACCCCUUACAUUCCAAAUCCAGCAAAGAACAUCUAUACAAGAAAUCUCUGAAUGCUGGACCAGUGCAAUGGGGGUUUCGGGCACACUCUCCUCUUCCUCAUGUUGAUAUUCUUGUUUACCAUAGAAGAUUUUCCCAUAAGGACUAAGCUCCCGCGCUUCCACUCGUAGCCAAUGACCAUAGCGGCCUACCUCCGAUUGGAAGGAAAAUGAGUAGUAUCCAGGCUCUAUUACAGCACAGGAAUUUCACCUGGGAUAUCCACCACAUCUUCCUCGGGCCAUAAAUCGCCCAAACUUCUGCAAAGGGCAGCCAAUCUUUUCUCUUCAUCAUACUAGUUUUCAUGCUUCUGGAAGUAGCAGCACUACUGGAAAUAGGUUUUUCCUGUGUAGAGCAAGAUCUAAAUAUGGAUGAAGGGAGCUCUGAUUCUACAGAGAGCACAUGAGGGGGUGAUGUGGUAAAUGGAGAAGACAGAAAGGGGUGCGGGGGUGAGUGGAUACAGAUUCGGCAGAGUAGACAGAAUGGGGUGCUGUGGUAAGUGGUGAUAAUGAAAUGGGUGCUGUGGUGAGUGAAAAUAAUGGAAAUCGGGGAAUGGAGGCGAUGGUGAGACUCUGGGUUUUAGGGUUUAGUGUAUGCGAGUAAAAGAGGGAUGGGAUUAGGGUUUUCCAACUCCAAUGUUCUCUGUUCCAUCGGUGCUGGAGUGGAAAAAUGGCAAAUGGAGGAUGAAGCGGAGGGAUUUCAGAGCUUCAGAAAGGAGACCUACCCAUAAGGGAGGAGGAUGCUACUCAGGCGGUAGAGAGAGAGCUCCAUCGUCGGAGCAGAAUCGUUCACUUUCGUAAACGAGUUUGGCGAUUAGUAUCUUAGCAUUACUCAAGUCCAAAGUCGUCGGGUGAUUGGCGACGGUGACCGGAGAUUCAAAGAUUAUCACAAGUGGGGGUGCAUAUCCGUAUUGAUACCGUACAAUAUCCACCCCGUAUAUUACUAACGCAGGUUAGGAAUCCCCAUGAAACUAAGCAAAGCGACAGAUUCAUAAGAGGGAU